rnacentral:rRNA from 1 species
CAUGCAAGUCGAACGGCAGCGCGAGAGAGCUUGCUCUCUUGGCGGCGAGUGGCGGACGGGUGAGUAAUAUAUCGGAACGUGCCCAGUAGCGGGGGAUAACUACUCGAAAGAGUGGCUAAUACCGCAUACGCCCUACGGGGGAAAGGGGGGGAUCGCAAGACCUCUCACUAUUGGAGCGGCCGAUAUCGGAUUAGCUAGUUGGUGGGGUAAAGGCUCACCAAGGCAACGAUCCGUAGCUGGUUUGAGAGGACGACCAGCCACACUGGGACUGAGACACGGCCCAGACUCCUACGGGAGGCAGCAGUGGGGAAUUUUGGACAAUGGGGGAAACCCUGAUCCAGCCAUCCCGCGUGUAUGAUGAAGGCCUUCGGGUUGUAAAGUACUUUUGGCAGAGAAGAAAAGGUACCUCCUAAUACGAGGUACUGCUGACGGUAUCUGCAGAAUAAGCACCGGCUAACUACGUGCCAGCAGCCGCGGUAAUACGUAGGGUGCAAGCGUUAAUCGGAAUUACUGGGCGUAAAGCGUGUGUAGGCGGUUCGGAAAGAAAGAUGUGAAAUCCCAGGGCUCAACCUUGGAACUGCAUUUUUAACUGCCGAGCUAGAGUAUGUCAGAGGGGGGUAGAAUUCCACGUGUAGCAGUGAAAUGCGUAGAUAUGUGGAGGAAUACCGAUGGCGAAGGCAGCCCCCUGGGAUAAUACUGACGCUCAGACA